AUGAGCCUACAUAUUCCUUGAUCACUCCUUGAUGUAUCUUGACCUAGUGUGAUGUAGAGAUACUGAAUAUUGAUUAGAGUAUCCUCUUGCCUAGAAAAGUCAAUUCCCAUCUUGUUUCUGUAGAUUUUGCUCUGCGAUAACUUGCACCAUUAAUUGCACCAUGGAACUUUGUUGAAUAUUUAAACAUGCUUGUUUUACUUCUAUUUCUUUCCAUUUCCCUUCCAAACAGCAUUGAAAC
rnacentral:lncRNA from 1 species